rnacentral:rRNA from 1 species
GACGAACGCUGGCGGCGUGCUUAACACAUGCAAGUCGAACGGAAAGGCCCUGCUUUUGUGGGGUGCUCGAGUGGCGAACGGGUGAGUAACACGUGAGUAACCUGCGCUUGACUUUGGGAUAACUUCAGGAAACUGGGGCUAAUACCGGAUAGGAGCUCCUGCUGCAUGGUGGGGGUUGGAAAGUUUCGGCGGUUGGGGAUGGACUCGCGGCUUAUCAGCUUGUUGGUGGGGUAGUGGCUUACCAAGGCUUUGACGGGUAGCCGGCCUGAGAGGGUGACCGGCCACAUUGGGACUGAGAUACGGCCCAGACUCCUACGGGAGGCAGCAGUGGGGAAUAUUGCACAAUGGGCGGAAGCCUGAUACAGCAACGCCGCGUGCGGGAUGACGGCCUUCGGGUUGUAAACCGCUUUCGCCUGUGACGAAGCGUGAGUGACGGUAAUGGGUAAAGAAGCACCGGCUAACUACGUG